CACGUAGGGCGCAAGCGUUGUCCGGAAUUAUUGGGCGUAAAGAGCUCGUAGGCGGUCUGUUGCGUCCGCUGUGAAAACUCGGGGCUCAACCCCGAGCGUGCACCCGAUACUGCCGGGCUUGAGGCAGGUAGGGGAGAUCGGAAUUCCUGGUGUAGCGGUGAAAUGCGCAGAUAUCAGGAGGAACACCGGUGGCGAAGGCGGAUCUCUGGGCCUGUCCUGACGCUGAGGCGCGAAAGCUAGGGGAGCGAACAGG
rnacentral:rRNA from 1 species